CCUACGGGUGGCAGCAGUGAGGAAUAUUGGUCAAUGGGCGCAAGCCUGAACCAGCCAAGUAGCGUGAAGGAUGACUGCCCUAUGGGUUGUAAACUUCUUUUAUCAGGGAAUAAAGUGAGGCACGUGUGGCUUUUUGUAGGUACCUUAUGAAUAAGGACCGGCUAAUUCCGUGCCCGCAGCCGCGGUAAUACGGAGGGUCCGGGCGUUAUCCGGAUUUAUUGGGUUUAAAGGGAGCGUAGGUCGGUCUUUAAGUUAGUUGUGAAAGGCGGCGGCUCAACCGUAGAACUGCAGUGGAUACUGGCAGGCUUGAGUGCAGUGGAGGUAGGCGGAAUUCGUGGUGUAGCGGUGAAAUGCUUAGAUAUCACGAAGAACUCCGAUUGCGAAGGCAGCUUAC
rnacentral:rRNA from 1 species